rnacentral:lncRNA from 1 species
AAACAUUUAAUGAAUUAAUUAAACUAAUUUUAUUUUAAAUCAAAUUCCUCCAUUUUAAAUUAAUAAUUAAAUAAUAUUUCAUAAAACAAUCUAAUAUAUAACAUAAUAUAAAAAAUAAUUAAAUAAAUCACCUAAAAUUAAAUUUUGAAUUUUCUUAUAGAAAUUGCAUUUAAAGUUUGUUAGAAAAUAAAAAACAAAGAAGAAGAAGAAGAAGCGGAAAAAAAAAUUGGAGUAGAAAUAAAAUAGCACUUGAAAUGAGUAAGAAUGAGACAAGAAAUUAAAAUUUUAGUUUGAUUUUUUUAUUUAAUAAUAAAUUCAUUAAACUUUGUAAUAGUGAUUUUAAGCAGAAAAGAGCCAUAAAGAACAAAAUCGGUAAGACAUGUUAUUUUAUUCCUUUGGAUGCCAAAUUAGGAGUAGCAAAUAUCCAAAGACAAUAAAAAAAC